CAGCGAGGCAUGUGGUUUAAUUCGAUGCUACACGAAGAACCUUACCUGGGCUUGACAUGUAUGAGAAAGCUGGAAGAAACUCUGGCCCUCUUGUGGAGCAAUCCACGAGACCCAUACACAGGUGCUGCAUGGUUGUCGUCAGCUCGUGCCGUGAGGUGUCGGGUUAAGUCCCAUAACGAGCGCAACCCCUAUCGUUAGUUGCCAGCAAGUAAAGUUGGGACUCUAGCGAGACUGCCGGUGUAAACCGUGAGGAAGGUGGGGAUGACGUCAAAUCAGCACGGCCCUUAUAUCCAGGGCUACACACGUGUUACAAUGGUCGGUACAAAGAGCAGCCACUUGGUGACAAGGCGCUAAUCUCAAAAGCCGAUCUCAGUUCGGAUCGAAGUCUGCAACUCGACUUCGUGAAGUUGGAUUCGCUAGUAAUCGCGCAUCAGCCAUGGCGCGGUGAAUACGUUCCCGGGCCUU
rnacentral:rRNA from 1 species